AGGGAAUCUUCCGCAAUGGGCGAAAGCCUGACGGAGCAACGCCGCGUGAGUGAUGAAGGUCUUCGGAUCGUAAAACUCUGUUAUCAGGGAAGAACAAAUGUGUAAGUAACUGUGCACAUCUUGACGGUACCUGAUCAGAAAGCCACGGCUAACUACGUGCCAGCAGCCGCGGUAAUACGUAGGUGGCAAGCGUUAUCCGGAAUUAUUGGGCGUAAAGCGCGCGUAGGCGGUUUUUUAAGUCUGAUGUGAAAGCCCACGGCUCAACCGUGGAGGGUCAUUGGAAACUGGAAAGCUUGAGUGCAGAAGAGGAAAGUGGAAUUCCAUGUGUAGCGGUGAAAUGCGCAGAGAUAUGGAGGAACACCAGUGGCGAAGGCGACUUUCUGGUCUGUAACUGACGCUGAUGUGCGAAAGCGUGGGGAUCAAACAGGAUUAGAUACCCUGGUAGUCCACGCCGUAAACGAUGAGUGCUAAGUGUUAGGGGGUUUCCGCCCCUUAGUGCUGCAGCUAACGCAUUAAGCACUCCGCCUGGGGAGUACGACCGCAAGGUUG
rnacentral:rRNA from 1 species